UACGAAGGGGGCUAGCGUUGCUCGGAAUCACUGGGCGUAAAGCGCACGUAGGCGGAUUGUUAAGUCAGGGGUGAAAUCCUGGAGCUCAACUCCAGAACUGCCUUUGAUACUGGCGAUCUCGAGUCCGGGAGAGGUGAGUGGAACUGCGAGUGUAGAGGUGAAAUUCGUAGAUAUUCGCAAGAACACCAGUGGCGAAGGCGGCUAACUGGACCGGUACUGACGCUGAGGUGCGAAAGCGUGGGGAGCAAACAGG
rnacentral:rRNA from 1 species